CGCAAUCAGAAUGAAAUGGGCGUCUAUAUAGCUGCAUAUCUGAAAGUUUUUUGAUUUUUCGAUUCACUGACACGACAGGAGAGACCAUGGCUGCCAGCGAAGUGGAAAUUAAGCCGAAGACAAAAAAGGUGAAAAAUUACACAGAUGUUGACAAUUAUAAACCCUCGAAGCAUGUGACCUACUUAAAGAAUACUCUAGGUGCCAUAUUGCCCCAGUGUCUCCACGAAGUAUGCCAG
rnacentral:sRNA from 1 species